rnacentral:lncRNA from 1 species
UUCCUAAUAUGAUUUGUGUAUUAAGGUUUUUUAUUAACAUGAAACUGGUUUUAAAACAAAUUCCAUUAUUACAAAUAUGUGCACUAGGUAUUUUGUAAUCUAUUUUGACUUUAGUGGAAUUUGCUGCAGAUAGAGUUUGUUUAGUUUUAUGAAAGUAUUUACUUGGUAUGAUUCCUUGGUCUAUGCAGUUCAUAUCUGCACCUGAAUCUAACAUGGCUAUAGUUUCUAAUGUAAAAUCUUUUAUUGUCAAAUUUAUUUUUACAUACCAUUUUUGAUAUCUUAUUUUCGUAAUAUCAUUGAAUUUUAACGCUGUUU